UACGUAGGGGGCUAGCGUUAUCCGGAAUUACUGGGCGUAAAGGGUGCGUAGGUGGUUUCUUAAGUCAGAGGUGAAAGGCUACGGCUCAACCGUAGUAAGCCUUUGAAACUGGGAAACUUGAGUGCAGGAGAGGAGAGUGGAAUUCCUAGUGUAACGGUGAAAUGCGUAGAUAUUAGGAGGAACACCAGUUGCGAAGGCGGCUCUCUGGACUGUAACUGACACUGAGGCACGAAAGCGUGGGGAUCAAACAGG
rnacentral:rRNA from 1 species